ensembl:snoRNA SNORD15 Small nucleolar RNA SNORD15
CUUCGAUGAAGAGAUGAUGACGAGUCUGACUUGGGGGUGUUGCCUUCGCCCAGGUUGCCUACUCUGUGCUGCAUUCUGUGGCACAGUUUAAACGGCCCUGGUUGAAGUAACUUCCUAAAGAUGACCUAAAGAGGCAUUUGUCUGAGAAGG